UACGGGGGGGGCAAGCGUUGUUCGGAAUUACUGGGCGUAAAGGGUUUGUAGGUGGCCCGCUAAGUCACACGUGAAAUCCCUCAGCUUAACUGGGGAAUUGCGUGUGAGACUGGCAGGCUCGAGGGCAGGAGAGGAACGCGGAAUUCCAGGUGUAGCGGUGAAAUGCGUAGAUAUCUGGAGGAACACCGGUGGCGAAGGCGGCGUUCUGGACUGUCUCUGACACUGAAGAACGAAAGCCAGGGGAGCAAACGGG
rnacentral:rRNA from 1 species